AUCUGAGAGCACUUUGUCAAGG
rnacentral:miRNA from 1 species